UUGCACACUUAAUAUACCAUGGUAGAGUGUAAACAUAACUUUUAUAUGCACUGGGAAACCAAAAAAUAUUUGUGUGACUCAUCUAUUGAUAUUUGCUUUCCUGCAGUGGUUUGGAACUGAACCGGCAAUCUCUCAAAGGUUUGCUUGUAAAGUCACACUCACAGGCACCAGGGGUUAGGACUUGAACAUAUCUUUAUGGGUGACUCGAUUCAAACAACAAUAACUAUAUAACAAUAAAAUGAAGAGGAAAAGAAGAGGAAACGGAAGCAAGAGAAUUUUUGCUUGCUUCUCUUUGAAAUGGAAAGCGUAUGAGAUGCCAGUGUCUUCAUCUUUAUCUGGAAGGAGACAAUCGCUGUGUUCUCAGAUCAAGACAUGCGGUAUAGCAGAGUGUGUGUGUGUGUGUGUGUGUGUGUGUGUACAGAGAGAGCAUCCCAACCUGCUAAUUCUGUAAUGUCUUGUUCUUAGAGAAAUAAUCUUUUUUGUGGUAAAGAAACAUUUAUUUAAGUUUUGACAACUUCAGUUUAUUUUUGUUCUAUGAAAUAAGUAAAAUUUAAAUGUAAUGAUAUUUUUUCUUUUAAAGACUCCAGUACCCAUUUAGGAGGUUGCUCAUUAAGCAGUUCUGACGCUGACUUCCUCCCUGACAGCCGUCAAGGAUCAUAAAGUGUGCGAAUAAGGCAGAGCCUCGGUUAGAUUUGAAGCUCCAGCAGCCAGCAGCGUGCUUUGUCCAUAGUUGCUGCUUAAUAAAUGUGUGUUAAAUUGGAUCAUUUUGUUGCUAAUUAUGCAGAGUGUUGUACCAGAUAACAUACAACAAAAGCAGGGCCGACAGGCCUCUGGAAUCUUCACUCGUGGAGGUACAAGGUGUCCCAUUUUUAAGGACUAUAUCUUCCAUUUCUCUUUUGCACCCACAGUCCAACUCUGGGAGAUUAAUUCAGACAUAGCCGAAGGGGAGAGGGCACAGCUGUCCUCAGAUGGGCUGCCUGUACUGAAAGGGAGAUCGAGUCCUUCUUUCUGUCUGGAACGUGGUUAGUGCUCCCUGCUCUAAAGUCAUGUUCUCUGGCCCCACAGUAAUUUCCUUCCUGGACAGCAGAUUCUGCUGGUGAAAAGCCCCGGCUGAGAUCCACCGGCUCCUCGGGCUCAGCCCCUUCCCGGCAGAGGGCAUGCUGGCUGCUGACGAAUGGAGCCUGGUUCAGGAAUGAGCAGAUGCUGCUGCUGACAGGUGCUGCCAGGCGUGCUGGGACAUCCACUGAGCACCAUCGGCCUUGCACUUCCGCGGUCCUGCGGCCCCCCAACGUCAGCUCUCCUCCAACCCGUGUGGAAGGUGACAGAGAGCAGCUCAGGGUUUAGUGAAAACACCCUGCCAGGAUGGAACUGGCUUUCGCUGUUAUUAACAGGCUCUGGAGAAGGAAAACCAGGGCUAAAUGCCUGUCGCCUCUUUAUCUGCAUCUAUAUAGCUCGAAGAUCCCUCUCUUUCACCCUGCCUAGCCCUCUCUCGCUCUCGUUUGCACCCGGGUGCAAUCAAUAUUCCGCUCGAUCACAGAUUCCAGACCUGCCAGGCUGGGAUGGCGGUUCCUGUGCUGACUCAUCCACUCAGCCUGUCACCAUCACGUGCUCCCUCUGCCAGAAAGGCCACGUGGUGGGAUCUCCAGCUCUGGCUCAUCGUUGCUCCAAUCAGUUUCCUUUUCCCUUUUCCCCAGAAUGUUAUUUGAGUCCUCUUCUGUCCCCUGUCGCCCUGGGAGUCCCAGAGAGGCAUUAACAUAGGCUUGGGUUUUGCAGGACACUGAUGGAAGGUGGGCACGGAAUAGCAUUGUUCCCUGCCAGCAUCAAGAAGCAGCCACUAAACAGAGGGAAGCACAAACGCUGGUGACCAAGGGCGAGGUCUGGAGCUAAUAACACACUGUAAAUAGCAGCCCGCCCCCCAGGAUGAUAUUUUCUGUUCCCAGGUUUGGCUUGAUUUCCUAAUUUUACAAGCUAACUAUGAAGAAUUUGGCAGGGGGGAGGGGGAGUGGAGAAAAUUAAAUACUCAUUUAAAUUCUUUCCUAGCUGUCGAGUGAUGGAGGUUUCCAGCUGGCUGGACCUCAGAGAUCGCUGCGUUCAACAUCCUGUCUCCACAGAGGAGACACAAGGACACUGAGAUAGGCUGUGGCUUCCCCGAGGUCACACGGCUGGGCAGGGUCCUGGGUCCGGUCCAGGGAUAUUUCCUCGCCUCCUUUAAGUGUAAUCUCUUUGUGUGCUACUGUCCAAAUUGUUUAUUCUGCAAGUGUUUUACUCUGCAAAGGCUGCUUUGGACCCGUGGACCGACAGGGAUGCUGGCAGAGAGACCGGCAGGGGGAAGCGUGCUUCUACACAGUGGUGAUGGGAGGUCACCCUGCAGCCAGGGGUACUCGGGGUAAGGGCAGAGUGGGCGCGGCUUCCUCAUGGAGGAUCCCCUGGGGAUUACAGGAGCUGAGGCUCUCAUCUGCCUCUCUAGGAGAGUUCAGUGGCAGAGGACAGACAGAGGCUUCACACUGGAGAUUUUGAAGAAGGUGAUGGGCAAUUUGGCAUUCUGCACCUUUGGGUCACAAAGCAGUGUGAUCUCUUCUGAAAAGUUCUUUUUCCAACCUUGUGGAAAUCUCUGCAGGAAAAUGGUGCUUGGCUCCCGUUAAUUCCACUCCCCUGGUUUGCAACAAAGGAGACGCUGGCUCACAAACUAAGGAGGGAAAGGGGGACCAUCAGGGCUUACCAAGCCGAACUGCCACUCCAGGGGUGAGUCCCUCCAAGGGCCGCCUCCCAUCUUGAUCCAUAGCCCCCCCAGGGGGGCCCCACCAUGUCAUUGAGGCUGCUUCUCCUGCACCCAGCACAGUGCCUGGCCUGGAGGAAGCACUUGGCACACACUUCUGAAGGAAGAAGUGUCCCCUUGUCGGCCGAGGCAGCUCAGAUCCCACCAGGCCCUGAGGAGCCACCCGAGAGCCUCUCCACCCUUCUCCCUCUCUGCGCCUUGGGCAGGGGCAGGCCACGGGGGCAAACAGCGCUCUCCAUCCUUCUCCUGCUCAAAAACAGCCGCUCUGCUCUCCUCAGGCUGGCCAGACGUUCCCACCACAGCCCUGCUCGUGAUAAUAUAUCCCAUACAUUGUGCAUAGUACACAGUACACUAGUUUUAACAUAAGAUUCAAUUUUAUACGUUAUACAUUCAUACAUUAACUUAUAUAGUAUAUAA